ACCCUUUACCUAUUUCUCAAACAUGACUUAUUAUUAAAUAAAACCGAAAUAUGAAUAUGGAGAUGAAGAGGAAAUUUGACUCUCAGUGGCUGGGUGUCACCAGCCCACAUCUCAGUGGUGUCAUUGAGUGUACCCUUCUUCUUUCCCUCAAGUUAGUGGAUAUUUACACUUCUGGGGGGGAGGAUAAAGUGGUUCACCUGAGGGCAAAACCUUUAUUGCAGGUCCUGUCGCCUGUUUACAGACAUUAUUGAAAUGCUACUGUGGGAUGUUUGCCAUAAAUAAGUCUGUCAUCCAUCUGUCGUAGUAACUAGCACAUUGCUAGUAAAGUAUAGAAUACUAGCAGCCUUGUAUCUGGAAUUGCUUGAGAAUUUUA